rnacentral:tRNA from 1 species
ACUGGGGUGGCAGAGCUUGGUAAAUUGCGAAAGGCCUAAGCCCUUUUACCCAGAGGUUCAAAUCCUCUUCCCAGUU